AUUGAACGCUGGCGGCAGGCCUAACACAUGCAAGUCGAACGAGUGGCGGACGGGUGAGUAAUGUCUGGGAAACUGCCCGAUGGAGGGGGAUAACUACUGGAAACGGUAGCUAAUACCGCAUCCUAUCGGAUGUGCCCAGCUGGGAUUGGCUAGUAGGUGGGGUAACGGCUCACCUAGGCGACGAUCCCUAGCUGGUCUGAGAGGGUGACCAGCCACACGGGAACUGGGACAAGGUGCAGACUCCUACGGGCGGCAGGAGUGGGGAAUAUUGCACAAUGGGCGCAAGCCUGAGGCAGCCAUGCGGCGUGUAGGAAGGAGGCCUUCGGGUUGUAAAGUACUUUCAGCGAGGAGGCGUUACGCGCAGAAGAAGCACCGGCUAACUCCGUGCCAGCAGCCGCGGUAAUAC
rnacentral:rRNA from 1 species